rnacentral:sRNA from 1 species
UUAUAAUCAUUAAACUUGACUUCCACGAUUUAAUAUUUUAUUCAUAUUUUUUACCUAAAAAUUUAUAUCUUAUAAAUACUGUACGUCCCAUUUCAAGAACUCACUCAGCAGUUCCUAUUUUCUUUUACUCUCUCGCCUCUUUUUUUAUUCAAGCAGAAAAAAACGAGACCAUGAAGAAAACUGAGGUUGUGGAUCGACUAGACCAUGGAGAAAGCAAUAUAUCGAGGUGUCCUCUCACACUCUCUGUUUUUCUCUAUUUUUUUCAUGUUUUUCUCACAUCUUUUUUUUAUAAUAUUUAUGCAGGUAAUGUGGAAGAUUAAAAUGUAGACGCACACAUGAUUUUGUUAAAGUAUGUCUUGCUUUCUAAUUAUUUAUCUUUUAUGCAAAGUAAUAUGUUAACCUUUUUUUACCUCUCUAUAUAUUUAUAAGAUGAGUAAUUCUGAUUGAAUUUUUUGAUAGGGAUUACGGUCUUUUUCCUGUUAAUUUGCAGAUACACGAUGAUGAUUUAUAAUUUGACUACUAUCUUCCAAUGAACAACAAAAUUAUAAGGUAUGCAAUAUUUUUUCUUAAAUCUGAUUGAUAAAUUCUCCAAUUAUUUUCCAAUUUAUAAAGUAUGAAGAAAGACAUUUUCCAAUUAUUAUUU